rnacentral:lncRNA from 1 species
UAAAUUUAUAAGAGGUACUAUGAUUAAUAAUAUGUAUUAUGUAUUUACAGGUAAAAAAAUUAUGAAUAAAAUAAUUAUAUUUGAUUUUGAUUUCACAAAUUAACAGUCAAGUUAAAUUAACAGUUUAAUUCUUAACCAAUUUGUGUUUGUACUAAUUCAUUUUUCAACUGUUAACAAAUCAAUGUCAACAUACAUUGGAAAUUCAAGAUUUUAUAAGUUAUUAAGUGGUUAAUACCUAUUGGUACUAUAACAUGGAAAAACUGAAAGAUAAAAUAAUUAUAAUCAAUUUUGAAUUCACUAACUAUCGACGUACACUAAGGAACUGAUUUAAUACUUAUUAUUACAGAAAUAUCAUACAAAAGC